ACCUAAACCAACUGAUUUCCUCAGGGAGACCAACAUCUCAUGCAAACCACAGCAGCCUGCAAAAGCCAGGCUUCAUUCUCGGUGUGUGUGUGUCCAGGAUCUUUCAUGGACCCAGAGAGGUGGUGAGGGUCUUUACUGCCUUACCGCUGGUAUUUGUCACAGAAGCAGAAGCGAAGACCUCACAUCUGCUGCACGUAAAGGCUAUGCUGUGGUGCCAUGCUAUGACUUAUAUGUGCCAUAGCAUGCAGAGAAUGAAUAUUUGGUUAAGGACCAAGACACCUUGCAGAAGAAAGAGUAUACAGUUCCAGAGUGGUGAACAUUCAUGGUGACAGAGUUGAAGCCUGAAGCACGGCAACAAGUGACAGGCAUGACUACACAAGGAGGAAGCUGAGAGCUCACACUCGACAAAACAGAGAACUCGAACUGGAAUGUAAACUGAAGACCAGAAGCUGACCUUUGGAGAUAUUUAGUCCAGUGGACUGAGCAGCUGCUGCACUCUCAGUAUCUUCAACGUGAGACAGCCAUGUCAGAAAACCCAACGCAUAUCAUUUUCAGGCUCUGAUGUCACUGUCUGGCCUAAGGCUCCUACAUGCAGUGGUGCUACUGAAUAUGAACUCACAUAAGUGUACACAAACACAUAAAAACAAAAAGAUAAAGUUUCACAAAAAAACAUUCAUACCACAGCAUGGAUGUUUCUCGCUGCACUUGGACAGAUUUUCAGUGGAAAGAACAGAAAGCAGAACAAAAGGAAGCAAUAGGCACCUGUAUUGAAGUUCUGACAACAGAAGAAGUUGGCCAUCUCAUUUCUAUCUCGCAUGCCAAGCCUUUUCUACUCUCCUGGAAGAUGACCCCAGCACAUCAAGGGCAAGAGAAUGAAGAUACAGAACAUUCCACUGCAAUCAUGUCCGAGAAUGAUUACAAUAUCCAUUCGGGUACCAUCCUUGUCCCCUUUCACAUGGUGAAACUGGUAGCGGAGAGAAGCUGCAGUCAAGACAAGCUCACACAGACAGUGCACCCCAAGAAGAGAGCCAGGGCUCCAGGAAAGAGAGCUGUGUCGCUCUCCCAUCCUACCCCGCAAGCAAUUGGAUGCCAGGAUCUCACAUCUCCAAACCUAAGCCUGAAGCAGAGGCAGC
rnacentral:lncRNA from 1 species